rnacentral:tRNA from 1 species
GGGCUUGUAGUUUAAUGGAUAGAAUAACUGGUUUCGGCCCAGUUGAUGGGGGUUCGAUUCCCUCCGAGCCCG